GGCGGCGUAGCUCAGUGGUAGAGCGAGGGACUCAUAAACCCUAGGCCACAGGUUCAAUCCCUGUCGCCGCUA
rnacentral:tRNA from 4 species